GAUGAACGCUGGCGGCGUGCCUAACACAUGCAAGUCGAACGGAGAUUACGGACGGAAGUUUUCGGAUGGAAGACUGUAAUUCUUAGUGGCGGACGGGUGAGUAACGCGUGGGCAACCUGCCCUAUACAGGGGGAUAGCAGCUGGAAACGGCUGGUAAGACCGCAUAAGUCGGCGAGACCGCAUGGUUUUGCCGGGAAAUGAGCAAUCAGGUAUAGGAUGGGCCCGCGUCCGAUUAGCCAGUUGGCAGGGUAAAAGCCUACCAAAGCAACGAUCGGUAGCCGGACUGAGAGGUCGGACGGCCACAUUGGGACUGAGACACGGCCCACACUCCUACGGGAGGCAGCAGUGGGGGAUAUUGCACAAUGGAGGAAACUCUGAUGCAGCGACGCCGCGUGAGUGAAGAAGUAUUUCGGUAUGUAAAGCUCUAUCAGCAGGGAAGAUGAUGACGGUACCUGACUAAGAAGCCCCGGCUAACUACGUG
rnacentral:rRNA from 1 species